rnacentral:rRNA from 1 species
UACGUAGGGGGCUAGCGUUGUCCGGAAUCAUUGGGCGUAAAGGACGCGUAGGCGGUGCGGCAAGUCACCUGUGAAACCUCUGGGCUUAACCCAGAGCCUGCAGGCGAAACUGCCGUGCUGGAGUGUGGGAGAGGUGCGUGGAAUUCCCGGUGUAGCGGUGAAAUGCGUAGAUAUCUGGAGGAACACCGGUGGCGAAGGCGGCAUCCUGGACCGGCAUUGACGCUGAGGCGCGAAAGCCAGGGGAGCAAACGGG